GGGGGAUUAGCUCAAAUGGUAGAGCGCUCGCUUCGCAUGCGAGAGGUAGCGGGAUCGAUGUCCGCAUCCUCCA
rfam:Lepisosteus oculatus unplaced genomic scaffold TNK74, whole genome shotgun sequence.